UACAAAGGGGGCUAGCGUUGUUCGGAAUUACUGGGCGUAAAGCGCACGUAGGCGGAUUUGUUAGUCAGGGGUGAAAUCCCGGGGCUCAACCUCGGAACUGCCUUUGAUACUGCAAGUCUCGAGUCCGGAAGAGGUGGGUGGAAUUCCUAGUGUAGAGGUGAAAUUCGUAGAUAUUAGGAAGAACACCAGUGGCGAAGGCGGCCCACUGGUCCGGUACUGACGCUGAGGUGCGAAAGCGUGGGGAGAAAACAGG
rnacentral:rRNA from 1 species